UACGUAGGGUGCAAGCGUUAAUCGGAAUUACUGGGCGUAAAGCGUGCGCAGGCGGUUCGUUGUGUCGGCGGUGAAAGCCCCGGGCUUAACCUGGGAAUGGCCGUUGAAACUGGCGAACUGGAGUGUGGCAGAGGGGGGGUGGAAUUCCGCGUGUAGCAGUGAAAUGCGUAGAGAUGCGGAGGAACACCGAUGGCGAAGGCAGCCCCCUGGGCUAACACUGACGCUCAGGCACGAAAGCGUGGGGAGCAAACAGG
rnacentral:rRNA from 1 species